AGAUGCCGCCGCCCCACCCCCCGCCCGAUCUGUGCCUUGCCUCCCCACCCUGGAGGAGCCCCUCCGGUCACCAGCACUGCCUUGGCAGAGCCCACUCCCCACCCUGGCCGGCCCCCGCCCCAGCAUUAGUUGGCACUGGGGAAGUGCUGGGGCUGGGAGGUGGCAAGGAGCGGGCAGUUCCCGGGGCAUCGAAACCAAGUAUUACUAUGAAUUGUAAUUGUAUUUGCACUGUUUUUCCCCUCUGAUUGCAUCCGCAUAUAUACAAUAUACCUAUAUAACAAAAUUCAGUGUCAAGCUUUCUUAUGCAAGGGAUCCCCCCAGAAGAGGCAAAUCUAGGCUUGUGGGCGUCGAGGUGCACUGUCGGAGGUGGCAGGGCCUCGCCACGUGCUCAAGGCGCCAGCUCUGCCCGCCGCGGGAGGCUGGCCGAUGGAGACCCGAGGCCUCCCAGCGUACUGUGCUCUUGUUUUCGGUAGAGUUGAUUUUCUGGGUCGGAGUUUUUUUCUAAUGUGUGAAGUGAGAGAGGAAGUCAUCUGGCCAUUUAGUUUACAAUUAUAGGCUUUCUUCCCCACCUGAAAACAGUACGGCUUGAGGUGCAGGGGGUGUGGGGUUGAGAAGUCGGGAGGAGAGAACCAGUGCGAAGCGGCACCCGACAGUGCCCUCCUCGGGCAGGCCCAGGCCGCCCCACCAUUCGCAGAGCCUCCGAGUGAGGUCGACCCACGAAGGUCGGUGGUCUGCUUGCUCCUUUGCGAGCUACAGGAUGUGGAACUUCCUGUCGUCUUGGUGACAGAAUCGGAGAGCUCAGACGCCCACGUCUCCUCCCCAGAUCUUGGGCGGGUGGGCGCGGCCUUCCCUCAGCGGGGGCCAAGACCCUUUUGCACAACUCUAAGUUUCCUUUUUCUUUGCCUUUUUUUUUCUUUCUUUUUUAACUCAUUCUAAUUUUCUGCAUUGUGUUUGGGAAAUAAAAUGAAAAAACUAAGACCAAUAGAAACUGGUUUUCAAAAAGGCAAAUACACUCCCAUCUGUUUCAGAUGCUGCUGAGCAUUUCAGCAGUGAGAUUCUAAUAAUAAGCUAAUUUUUGGAGAAAGGAUUAAAAGAAAAAACUUUGUAAUAUUUAUCACUUGCAAGCUAUGUUUAAUAAAGAAA
rnacentral:lncRNA from 1 species